rnacentral:rRNA from 1 species
CAGUCGCCGCGGUAAUACGUAGGGUGCGAGCGUUAAUCGGAAUUACUGGGCGUAAAGCGUGCGCAGGCGGUUUUGUAAGACAGGCGUGAAAUCCCCGGGCUCAACCUGGGAAUGGCGCUUGUGACUGCAAAGCUAGAGUGCGGCAGAGGGGGAUGGAAUUCCGCGUGUAGCAGUGAAAUGCAUAGAUAUGCGGAGGAACACCGAUGGCGAAGGCAAUCCCCUGGGCCUGCACUGACGCUCAUGCACGAAAGCGUGGGGAGCAAACAGGAUUAGAUACCCCCGUAGUCCCUGUCUCUUAUAC